GGCUAGGUAGCCAAGUGGUAAGGCGAAGGUCUGCAAAACCUUUAUGCGUGGGUUCGAUUCCCACCCUAGCCU
rfam:Parcubacteria bacterium GW2011_GWB1_43_6 TV98_C0008, whole genome shotgun sequence.